rnacentral:rRNA from 1 species
CAUGCAAGUCGAACGAGACCUUCGGGUCUAGUGGCGCACGGGUGCGUAACGCGUGGGAAUCUGCCCUCAGGUACGGAAUAACUCAGGGAAACUUGAGCUAAUACCGUAUAAUGACUUCGGUCCAAAGAUUUAUCGCCUGAGGAUGAGCCCGCGUCGGAUUAGCUAGUUGGUGAGGUAAAGGCUCACCAAGGCGACGAUCCGUAGCUGGUCUGAGAGGAUGAUCAGCCACACUGGGACUGAGACACGGCCCAGACUCCUACGGGAGGCAGCAGUGGGGAAUAUUGGACAAUGGGCGAAAGCCUGAUCCAGCAAUGCCGCGUGAGUGAUGAAGGCCUUAGGGUUGUAAAGCUCUUUUACCCGGGAUGAUAAUGACAGUACCGGGAGAAUAAGCCCCGGCUAACUCCGUGCCAGCAGCCGCGGUAAUACGGAGGGGGCUAGCGUUGUUCGGAAUUACUGGGCGUAAAGCGCACGUAGGCGGCUUUGUAAGUUAGAGGUGAAAGCCCAGGGCUUAACCCUGGAAUUGCCUUUAAGACUGCAUCGCUAGAAUCGUGGAGAGGUGAGUGGAAUUCCGAGUGUAGAGGUGAAAUUCGUAGAUAUUCGGAAGAACACCAGUGGCGAAAGCGACUCACUGGACACGUAUUGACGCUGA